CAGCAUUUGGCAGAUGCCCUUAUCCAGAGGAACUUACAUUUAUCUAUCUAUCUAUAUGGCUUAAACAUGAUAAAAUGUAAAUAAAUAGAACCGUUAAUGCAAUACAUUUCUACAUAUUACGCUUCUUGAUAUGAUAUUCCUCUUACCGAUGGAGAGGCCCCGAUGGUUUAUAAAGAUGGAAUCAUACAACCUGUCACAUAACUGUCAAACUGCACAAAAUUCCUCCUCUUUGUAACAAAAAAAAAAAAUUUUCUCCACCGAGUGAUGGCUUUAAAAGUGAAUAGUGUAAGGAAAGAAACAGACAAACACACACUAACGAACCAUGUUUGCUGCUAAUCUAGUUGAUGGGGUGCCCCUGGGGGCGGGACGUGUGUGUUUAGAGAGUAUUUCAUUGGACAAACACAAAACAAGUACAAGAUGAGUCAUGGAAAAAAAAUAAUGGUUUGCUAGAAGUGUCAUAGUAUAAAAUGAAAACGAGAAUAUCUCCAAAACCUGUCAUUUUUUCUGUAUAUUCUGUUGUAUUAGUGUCCAUAAAGCUAAGACACACGUAUUAAAAGCUCUAAAACAUCUAUUUUAAUUUCAGGAGUAUUUAAAUAGUUAGAGAUGUGCGCGAGCUGGAGCGCAGUGAAGCGAUAAAUCACAGCGCGCAGCACACACACUGAGAUGUUAGCAUGUUUAUUAGCCACUGAGCUCUCAUGCUACAUUUACAGCGUAAAAGUUCCAGCCAGCUAACGUUCCCUUACAUUACACAUUCGCUUAGCUGCUAAUGAACUCGCCUGUUGUUUACAGCGCUAUAGUAAAUACAUAUUCAUUUAUAAACAUUACUCCUCUCAGGGCUGUCAUGAAGCAACACAGCUAGCGACUGUUAGCCGACAUGCUAAGCAAACAGCCGAACUCGCUAAUGUUAGCUUCCUGCUUCUACGCGAGCGGAGUUUAUCCCUAAUGAGCAAGACAGAGGCGACGGUGGCAAGGAAAAUCUCCCCGAGACAAUAUGAGGAAGAAACCUUGAGAGGAACCAAGACUGAAAAGGAACCCAUCCUCACCUGGGUUUACACCGGAUCAUACAUAAUUCCCUUCUAUAACCGAUAUUAGUCCAUAAAGACAUGGUUUGACGAGAUUGGUGUGGAGGAACUCCAGUGUCCUGCACAGAUCCCUGACCUCAACUCCACUAAACACCUUUGAAGUUAAUUGGAACAUCGAUUUCAUGCCAGGCCUUCUCGUUCCAACAUCAGCGCUUGACUUCACUAAUGCUCUUUUGACUGAAUGGGCACAAAUUCCCACAGACCCAUUCUAAAUUCUUGUAGAAAGCCAUAGAGUGGAGGGUGUUAUAACUGAAAAGAGGGGCCAACAACAUAUGAACAGCCAUGGUUAUGGAAUGUCUAACAAGUUCUUAUAGGUGUGGUGGUCAGAUGUUCACAUACUUUUGGCCAUAUAGUGUAAGUUAAAUCCCUGUCAUCCAUCACUGUGAAGGUAAAACCAGAAAGUUUUUAAACACAAAUGAUACUGACCUGCACAAGUGAGGUAAUAUAUACACUGAUCAGCCAUAAAAUUAAAAGCAUUGACAGGUGACGUGAAUAACAUUGAUUAUCUUGUUACAAUGGACCCUGUCAGGGGGUGGGAUAUAUUAGGCAGCAAGUGAACAGUCAGUUCUCGAAGUUGAUAUGUUGGAAGCAGGAAAAAUGGGCAAGCGUAAGGAUCUGAGCGACUCUGACAAGGGCCAAAUUGUGAAGGCCAAACGACUGGGUCAGAGCAUCUCCAAAACAGCAGGUCUUGUGGGGUGUUCCUGCUAUGCAGUAGUUCGUACCUAACAAAAGUGGUCCAAGGAAGGACAACGCGAAGACUAGCCCGUCUGGUCCAAUCCCACAGAAGAGCUACUGUAGCACAAAUUGCUGAAAAGGUUAAUGCUGCGUAGCUGCAGACUGGUCAGACAGCCCAUGCUGACCCCUGUCCACUGCUGAAAGUGUCUACAAUAGGCAUGUGAGCAUCAGAACUGGACCACAGAGCAAUGGAAGAAGGUGGCCUGGUCUGAUGAAUCAUGUUUUAUUUUAAAUCACGCGGAUGUCCGGGUGCGUGUGCAUCACUUACCUGGGGAAGAGGUGGCACCAGGAUGCACUAUAUGGAGAAGGCAAGCCGGCAUUCAUGAGGAUGUUACUUUGACAUGUACCACCUACUGAAACAUUGUUGGAGACGAAGACACCCCCUCAUGGCAACGGUAUUCCUUAAUGGAAGUGGCCUCUUUCAGCAGGAUAAUGCACCCUGUCACACUGCAAACAUUGUUCAGGAAUGGUCUGAAGAACAUGACAAAGCAUUCAAGGUGUUGACCUGGCCUCAAGAUCUCAAACCGACUGAGACU